rnacentral:rRNA from 1 species
GACGAACGCUGGCGGCGUGCUUAACACAUGCAAGUCGAACGAUGAAGCGGUGCUUGCACCGUGGAUUAGUGGCGAACGGGUGAGUAAUACGUGAGUGACCUACCUUUGACUCUGGGAUAAGCCUGGGAAACUGGGUCUAAUACCGGAUACGACCAAUCUCUGCAUGGGGUGUUGGUGGAAAGCGUUAUGGAGUGGUUUUAGAUGGGCUCACGGCCUAUCAGCUUGUUGGUGAGGUAAUGGCUUACCAAGGCGACGACGGGUAGCCGGCCUGAGAGGGUGACCGGCCACACUGGGACUGAGACACGGCCCAGACUCCUACGGGAGGCAGCAGUGGGGAAUAUUGCACAAUGGGCGCAAGCCUGUUGCAGCGACGCCGCGUGAGGGAUGACGGCCUUCGGGUUGUAAACCUCUGUUAGCAUCGAAGAAGCGAAAGUGACGGUAGGUGCAGAGAAAGCGCCGGCUAACUACGUG